CCCUUAGAUGUUCUGGGCUGCACGCGCGCUACACUGAAGCUAUCAACACGUUUUCCCUCCCUGAGAAGGGCGGGUAACCUUUUGAAUCAGCUUCGUGGUAGGGAUCGGGGCUUGCAAUUGUUCCCCGUGAACCAGGAAUUCCUAGUAGACGCGAGUCAUAAGCUCGCAUCGAUUAAGUCCCUGCCCUUUGUACACACCGCCCGUCGCUACUACCGAUUGAACGUUUUAGUGAGGCAUUUGGACCGACGCAUCUCAGUUUAACCGCUGGUUUGUGUUGGAAAGACUUCCAAACUUGAGCGUUUAGAGGAAGUAUAAGUCGUAACA
rnacentral:rRNA from 1 species